rnacentral:rRNA from 1 species
UACAGAGGAGCCAAGCGUUGUCCGGAUUGACUGGGCGUAAAGCGCACGCAGGCGGAUGCGCGCGUGGGGUGUGAAAUCUGGCCGCUUAACGGCCAGGCGCCAUCCCAUACGGCGCGUCUGGAGUGAUGCAGAGGUCGAUGGAAUUGCCGGUGUAGUGGUGAAAUGCGUAGAGAUCGGCAGGAACACCCAGGGGGAAACCAGUCGACUGGGCAUCUACUGACGCUGAGGUGCGAGAGCGUGGGGAGCGACCGG